UACGGGGGGGGCAAGCGUUGUUCGGAAUUACUGGGCGUAAAGGGCUCGUAGGCGGCCAACUAAGUCGGAUGUGAAAUCCCCAGGCUUAACUUGGGAACUGCAUCCGAUACUGGAUGGCUUGAAUCCGGGAGAGGGAUGCGGAAUUCCAGGUGUAGCGGUGAAAUGCGCAGAUAUCAGGAGGAACACCAAUGGCGAAGGCAGCUCGCUGGGACGGUACUGACGCUGAGACGCGAAAGCGUGGGGAGCAAACAGG
rnacentral:rRNA from 1 species